rnacentral:rRNA from 1 species
GAGACCGGCGCACGGGUGCGUAACGCGUAUGCAAUCUACCUUUCACAAAGGGAUAGCCCAGAGAAAUUUGGAUUAAUACCUUAUAGUAUAUAUGAAUGGCAUCAUUUAUAUAUUAAAGAUUUAUCGGUGAAAGAUGAGCAUGCGUCCCAUUAGCUAGUUGGUAAGGUAACGGCUUACCAAGGCAACGAUGGGUAGGGGUCCUGAGAGGGAGAUCCCCCACACUGGUACUGAGACACGGACCAGACUCCUACGGGAGGCAGCAGUGAGGAAUAUUGGACAAUGGGCGCAAGCCUGAUCCAGCCAUGCCGCGUGAGUGAUGAAGGCCUUAGGGUUGUAAAGCUCUUUUACCCGGGAUGAUAAUGACAGUACCGGGAGAAUAAGCUCCGGCUAACUCCGUGCCAGCAGCCGCGGUAAUACGGAGGGAGCUAGCGUUGUUCGGAAUUACUGGGCGUAAAGCGCACGUAGGCGG